GACGGAGGGGGCUAGCGUUGUUCGGAAUUACUGGGCGUAAAGCGCACGUAGGCGGCUUGGUAAGUUAGAGGUGAAAGCCUGGAGCUCAACCCCAGAAUUGCCUUUAAGACUGCCGAGCUAGCAGGUGAGAGAGGUGAGUGGAAUUCCGAGUGUAGAGGUGAAAUUCGUAGAUAUUCGGAAGAACACCAGUGGCGAAGGCGGCUCACUGGCUCAUACUGGACGCUGAGGUGCGAAAGCGUGGGGAGCAAACAGG
rnacentral:rRNA from 1 species